UACCUCCUACGGGAGGCAGCAGUGGGGAAUAUUGCACAAUGGGGGAAACCCUGAUGCAGCGACGCCGCGUGAAGGAAGAAGUAUUUCGGCAUGUAAACUUCUAUCAGCAGGGAAGAAAAUGACGGUACCUGAAGAAGAAGCCCCGGCUAACUACGUGCCAGCAGCCGCGGUAAUACGUAGGGGGCAAGCGUUAUCCGGAUUUACUGGGUGUAAAGGGGGCGCAGACGGCGAUGCAAGCCAGGAGUGAAAGCCCGGGGCCCAACCCCGGGACUGCUCUUGGCACUGCGUGGCUGGAGU
rnacentral:rRNA from 1 species